rnacentral:rRNA from 1 species
UACGGAGGGUGCGAGCGUUAAUCGGAAUUACUGGGCGUAAAGCGCGCGUAGGUGGCUAGAUAAGUCGGAUGUGAAAGCCCCGGGCUUAACCUGGGAACGGCAUUCGAUACUGUCUGACUAGAGUAUGGUAGAGGAAAGCGGAAUUCCCGGUGUAGCGGUGAAAUGCGUAGAUAUCGGGAGGAACAUCAGUGGCGAAGGCGGCUUUCUGGACCAAUACUGACGCUGAGGCGCGAAAGCGUGGGUAGCAAACAGG